rnacentral:pre_miRNA from 1 species
AGUGGGAUAGUUGGAUCAAAUGGUGGUUCCAUUCCAGGUUUUCUAAAGAAUCUCAGACUGCUUUCCAAAGUGGCUGCACCAUUUUACAAUCCCACCAGCAAU